AGUGAACGCUGGCGGCGUGCUUAACACAUGCAAGUCGAACGAUGAAGCUUUAGCUUGCUAGAGCGGAUUAGUGGCGCACGGGUGAGUAAUGUAUAGUUAAUCUGCCCUUUAGAGGGGGAUAACAGUUGGAAACGACUGCUAAUACCCCAUACUCCUUCUGUAUUAAUUACAGUUGGGAAAGUUCUUUCGCUAAAGGAUGAGACUAUAUGGUAUCAGCUAGUUGGUGGGGUAAUGGCUCACCAAGGCAAUGACACCUAGCUGGUCUGAGAGGAUGAUCAGCCACACUGGAACUGAGACACGGUCCAGACUCCUACGGGAGGCAGCAGUGGGGAAUAUUGCACAAUGGAGGAAACUCUGAUGCAGCAACGCCGCGUGGAGGAUGACACAUUUCGGUGCGUAAACUCCUUUUAUAUGGGAAGAUAAUGACGGUACCAUAUGAAUAAGCACCGGCUAACUCCGUGCCAGCCGCCGCCGUAAGAC
rnacentral:rRNA from 1 species